rnacentral:rRNA from 1 species
ACGGGAGGCAGCAGUGGGGAAUAUUGCGCAAUGGGGGCAACCCUGACGCAGCAACGCCGCGUGCGGGAUGACGGCCUUCGGGUUGUAAACCGCUUUCAGCAGGGAAGACAUCGACUGUACCUGCACAAGAAGCCCCGGCUAACUACGUGCCAGCAGCCGCGGUAACACGUAGGGGGCGAGCGUUAUCCGGAUUCAUUGGGCGUAAAGCGCGCGCAGGCCGCCCGCUAAGCGGGACCUCUAAUCCCGGGGCUCAACCCCGGGCCGGGUCCCGAACUGGCGGGCUCGGGUGCGGUAGGGGUAGGCGGAAUUCCCGGUGUAGCGGUGGAAUGCGCAGAUAUCGGGAAGAACACCGACGGCGAAGGCAGCCUACUGGGCCGACACCGACGCUGAGGCGCGAAAGCCGGGGGAGCGAACAGGAUUAGAUACCCUGGUA